rnacentral:rRNA from 1 species
AGUGAACGCUGGCGGCGUGCCUAAUACAUGCAAGUCGAACGGAGUGGCGCACGGGUGAAGCAUGUAUAGAUAAUCAGCCCUACACUAGAGGCCAACAUUGGGAAACGGCUGCUAAUACUCUAUAGUGUAGGAUGAGGCGAUAUUGUAUCAGCUAGGUGGUGCGGGAAUGGCUCACCAAGGCUAUGACGCCUCACUGGUCUGUGAGGAUGAUCAGUCACCCGCGACCUGAGACACGGUCCAGAAUCCUACGGGAAGCAGCGGUAGGGGAUAUUGCGCAAUGGGGGACACCCUGAAGCAGCAACGCAGCGUGGAGGAUGGCCGUUUUCGGAGCGUAAGCUCCUUGUGUGAUGGAAGCGGUACCUAACGAAUAAGCACCGGCUAACUCCGUGCCAGCCGCCGCGGUAAUAC